GUCCGUCUGUCCGUCUGUCCAUUCAUCUCAACAUUUUUGGCUCAUGAAUAUUUAUUUUCUAAGGAAUGAAGAAACUCUGUAGCACAUGAUAGGUGCUAAAUAAACUUAGUCGAAUAAACACUUUUGAUUCUUCCUCUAUGUUCCCACAGAAUAUGAUUUCUACUUUAUUGUAAAGCAUAUGCCAUUCUACCUUGGUAUCAGUGAUUCUUCUAACAGGUCAUAAUCUCCUUUAUACUGUCCCAGACAGAAAGCACAAUGCUAUGCACUGAGAAAAGAAAACUAGAAAUUUGAAUUUUUCAUUUUCCUUUCUGAAUAUCUUAAAUAAACAACCAGUAAAUAGAGGUCUCAAUUUCUUCUAUUUCUAAGUUGGAAAUAACACCUAUUUGGUUGAUGCUUAUUGUUUAGCAUCAGAAGUUCAGUAUUUGUAUGUAAUACUGAAACACCAUUUUCCAUUCUGUGACCUCCUAGUAUGUUUCUAACAAUUUUUGGAGAAUUUGAGACUUUUUCAAAAACAAAAUGUGUUUUAAUCCAAUUUUGUCUAUUUACAUUCCCUACCCAUUUUCUUUCUAGGGGAUAAGGGCCAAAGAAAGGAGGAGAAGAGCUCUCAGAAUUUCCAAUUAGCACAUUUAAGCAGUGAAAAUGUAUCAGACCUGACUAGAAUGCAAUGCAUUGUACUAUUAGGACCACUAUUCCAGAUACAGAACCUCAGCUCUCAAUGUGAAAGCCCACCAGAAAGAUGAAUGCUAACUAUGGGAGCAACAGCAGAAGGGAAAACCUUCUGUGCUCGUCUUUGGGUCCAUUUUCAGGAUAUGGAUACUAACUGCUCCAUUUUCUUAUUUGGACCUCUAGGUCUAUCUACUCUUUGUCUUCCGUGAUCUUCCUGGAUGCAUUUUGUGGUCUGCUGAUAUCUAUCUUCAGUGAAGCAUUCCUAAGCAGAAGAAAGCAAGUGCCUGGGAAUAUUAUCUUAGGGAAUAUUCACAGUAAAGAAGUCAGAUAACUCAGAAGAUGAAAAAUGUCAUGUAUCUCCUCUCCAAUAUGGUAAGUAACAGCUGAAAGUUGACUCUGGAUCGUCUGUAUAGUGGGGCAGUAAAGAGCCUAUAAAAUCAUAAAUAAACUCAGACUGGUCUUUAUUUUGGUAUGGUUCCUGUACUUCCAUAUGAAUAAGAGAAUGACUCACCCCCUUGGGAAUUCACAGUACAUCAAACCAAAUUAGGAAGCCAGGCAGCUGUGACCUGGUUUUGUAAGGGCCAAGAAAACUACAGAGUUUCACUGCUGAACCUUGCAACUCAAAAUGAUUCCCUGGUUUACAUGUUCCAUUUGGGACACGGGUGUGCCUUACUGACUCAUAUAAAACUUCACUCUGGGCUUGUGUUUUCUCUUACCUUACCCAGAGUUGUAUGUGAGUAAAUAAAGGCUUGAGUGAUCUUGAGGUGGCAGUUUAUAGGAGGGUAAAAGAAAACAGGAGUUAGAAUAAACAAUGUUAGUCAUUAAAAACUUGGAUGCAAGACUGACCUUAUGCAAUCCCUAAGGUAAAUGCCUAAGAUUUAUUUUAUGUAACUACAGUAAAAAUAACCCUCAUGAAUUGAGUUCUAAUACUAAUGCUCAUUUCAGGUACAUUGAAUUAUAGGAGGGACAGCACGCUAAACUGCUUGUUCUCAGUCUGCUCCAGUAAGUUUUAUUUUUUAUUGUUUUGGGGAUGCCUUUGGGAAGGAUAGGAGGGAUGGUGAUUCUUGAAAUUAGAGGUUGGGAUGAAAGUAUAAGGAAUUUUUUUUUAGUAGAAAGGGAUGUUGAGAACAGGUUAAAAAGAGGCUCUGGUUCCAUUAAUUUAGGAUCUGAUAAUAUUCCUCCAAAUCUGAAAUAUUCACAACCGACCAAAUAGCCAUGAUUUUUGGCAAGUGGUUUAAUUUUCUGUGAAGCCAUUAGGAUAAAAAUUAUGAGAUAUAUUCUAUUUAUUUAUUUUCAUUGGCAAAUCAGCCUUGUUUCUUGAAGAAAAUGGAAACCUGUUUUUAUAGAAGUUUACUGAGGUAGUUUUCCUUGAAAAAAUAAAACCCUUCAGAAUAUCCAGAUGAUGGAUGUAUUAUGGUAUGAAAAUUUUAAUAUAGGGGAACAUCUCAUAAUGGAAACAGCUUAAUAAGCAGGGAAUUUCCAUGCACCGAUUUCUGUAGAAACUCUAAUAUUGUUUUUAUUCAUUGUUUGGUGACAAUGUACUCUUGGCUUUUGUUCAGGAUAAAGCGUACAAAACUGCCUGUUGGGUCUUUUCAUCGUUAUUGUUGCCAUUGGAAGGGCUUUUACCGCCACUUUUGCACUCUACAGUCUCCCGAAUAUAUUCACCCAUGUAAGAAAAGGAUUAAAUUCAACAUAACCCUUGAGAUCUGCAUUCUGCCACAGGGUUAGGAAGAAGAGUGACACAGGAGACAAGUGAUGGUAAGUUGGAAAUAGCCUGUUAUCCAAAAAACUACAGUUAUUUCCUUAAUUUAUACACAAAGAAGAGUGGGACUAAACCAAAAUAUUGUCAUCUAUGCUCACUGACUUUAACAGAGGAUCCUCCUAGAGGCCUGACCACCCCCAAGCUCUUUCUGUCUUACCCUUUGUUAUUCUUUCAAUGAAGCUUGAAAAUGAAUAAGGAACUUGGCUGGCACCUCCCAAGAGAAAAAGAAUUCACCAGUGGCGACUACCAACACCGCAUUGUUUAUCAGAACCUAAAGUUCGGUUGAAAUCCCACAGUGACGUCAUCUCCCAGCACUUACUGAUGAAGCUAGGGACAAUUCCAAGACAUUUUCAAUGGGAUUGGUUACCCUGCGCAGGAAAUGGUCAACCAGCUUGCACUUCAAAGACUUUUCCUCUACUUAGGUUGUGCUUAGCUCUUAAAAGAAGUGGAAAGUAACCUAAAUCACAGACUCAGGCUAAGACAAGUCCUAAAAGGAUUCCAAGAGAACUGCACAUGCUGUGGUUAUUUUUCUAUGGGUUGAUAACUUGAUAUAAUUACUAGCAUUUAGGUGACUCUUUUUCUGAAAUGUAGUUAGGCUUGUGGAGACUUUGGGAAUGGAAAAAAAUUCAGAAUCUAUUAUAUGGGUAACACAAAAAUAGUACUAGAGAGACUAGUCUUUUAGUAGGUAUUGCUGCAAAUGUUUUGAAAAGCAGAUUGUCCACUCUGAUGGGGAAGGUCAUGUAUACCUAGGUGUUGAAAACUAGGAUAAAAAAAAUAACUUCUCAAAAGAUUAAGAGAUCAGAAAUUUAGGAUACUUGUAUUUAGAUGGAAAAAGAAGCAUGGAGAGGACUUGACAUGCUAUAUGCCAGCCAAGGUAUUAAAUAUUUAAACUUUUUCUCAUCCUAUAAUGUAUAAGUUCUGUAUUCUAAUUGGAAAAGAUAUGAAGCAGAUAAAGGCACAUUUUCUAUUUAUAGAAAUGUAUUAUGAUCUUGAAUUCUCUUUGCCAAUGAAAUUUUUGGAUUACACUAAAAAUAUUCUUAUGAAAUUAUUAUUUAAGAAAAUGACCAAGCUAAAAUUAGUGAAGGCUCAUCAUAGCCAUUAAAAACACCUGAAUGUUUCAACAUUAUGAUAAUUAAGACAAGAGUAUAGCCUUUUAGAGCUAGGAGACCUAGGUUUAAGUUUUUCUUAUUUAUAAAAUAAGGAUAGCAAUAUUUACUUUAAGGAUUUGUUGUGAAGAUGAAAUAAGCUAAUUUUAAAGCGCUCUGUAAACAGUCGUGGUAGUAAUGAUAAUAAUAAUGAAAACAACAUGUUAUGUCCUGUGUUAACUCCUUUAAUUUUUACAACUCCUUUGUGGACCAGAUACUAUCCUAAACAACCCUUUAACAUAUAAAGUCAAAGAUGGAAAGGUUAAAUAAUUUGCUCAAAGUCAUUUGGUUAGUAAAUGGCAGAGUCAGAAUUCAAAUUCUCUUCUAUUAUGAGUUGCUUCUGCCCAUACAAUGCAUAUUGAAAUAUUAGGAAAAAGAAUAUAUAGUGUGCUUUGCCUAAAGACCGUCUGUGUAAUAAAUACAAGACAAUCUAACAAGACUUAUGUAGUCACAGUAGGGAUGUACCACUGGCAUGUUGAGAGAAAAUAAAUCUAUAUGUGGUUGCAGAGACUAAUAGAGCAGUUCACAGUGAGGACACGAUUACUUAAGUGUAGAAAUUUUUCAUAACAUUUUAUUGGGUGGCAGUAUCGUAAAUAUUUCUUUUUUCUUAGCAAAGUUCAGGAAGUCAUAAUAAGCCACAGAGUUACAGUGGUAACAUCUGGAAGACUGGUUCCUUAGGUGAGCCUCCUAAAAGGCCUCUUGUUAAGUCAAAAUGAACAAAGCAUUCAUUAUCUGCUGCCCUUUAUUUCCAUUGAAACUGAAGACUUUCAAAAAAGGAGGCGUUUGGUAGCACAAGUGGAAAGAUUGGCUUGGAUUGUCCUCCACCUCCUAUUAUAACCAAAAGAGUUCUUUUAUUUUGAGGAGACAUUAAUGAUUCUUUCCACAAGCUGAACACAUAUUUACCCUGGAGAAUAACCCCCAUACUCAGCUGACCUGAAAAAGUGAUAUAAUAAUAUUUUGAUACUUUCAUAUUUCCCCUUAUUAGGAAUAAUAAUUUGGGGAGUUUUUUUAAAUGAAUACAUAAGGCAGUUAACUUUAAAAUUUUCUUAUAAUACCACAGAGGAAAUAAACACAACACAAAACAAUUUCCCUGUGAAAACAUACCAGACAACUUAUAGUGAUAAUCUGAUUGGAGAACACUUUGUUCAUUAUAAAAUAUUACAUACUAUAUUUCAAACAUGAUAGAAAUCUAAAAUUAAUCCCUGUCUUCACAUAAAUAAAAUGCCUUAAAAUGCCAUAAGAUAUUGUAUUUCCACCUAAACACCUUUGCGGCCUAAGUCAUCCUCAGGAGCUAUCUGUUCAUGAUAAAAAAGUAAAGUUGCUGUAAAUAAAAUUCAAAUUCCAAAUAUUUUUUAGAGCUCCCCUAUAAGAUACAUCCUAACAUGGAAUUUCAUCUUACAGGAGGGGAUACACUGUCUUUUGCAAAUACUUUCACUCCGCUUCACAACUGGGCAUAUUCUAGUAGUGGUACAGAAACAAAACUGGAAUUCUGGUUUCAGAGAUGACACCAAAUGUGGAAGAGAAAGAAAAUGUUUGAGGCCUAGUAUACUUAUGUUUUUCUAGAUUCAUAAAUAAUGCUACGGGUAGCUUCCAUUCCCAGUCACGACAAAAUAAUUAGUAACGAGCAACUCAUCCAGCCAUAAACCAUUAUAAAACUGGACAAAAUAUUUGAAGCAACUGUUUCAGAUGUUGGAAGACAUUCAGUGCAAAAUUGUGGUUCCUAGGAGAAAGAAAUAACAUGAUAAAGCCCCCCAGUGGCCCUAGCUCUCUGUCUAGACACAGGGAGGUAGAGCCAAAGCAGAACCCAGGGGUCUUGCUGAGCUGAGAAGGAACACAUUCUGAGUUUGAGGCCAAAAUUUUGGACCAGACACCCCGAGAGAAGAGAACUAGGAACUGCAUAGAGAAGAAAUGCCAGAAAUCUGCAGAAAGGUUCUUUUAGGACUUGGUCAAAUAUUAACCUCCUUGUUCAUGUCCAGGGAAAACGAUAAGGUACAACAAUGUAGAUCUGUUGGUGCGAGUGAAAUGAAGAUGCCAGGGGCACAAAGAGCUGGGAGUCACAAGAGUUCUGACCAACCAAAGUAGAGAGGGCUCACCGACACCCUGGGCAUGCAGCUGAGAUCAAUCACACACUUUCGGAGAGAGGCCACUUUAGUUCAAAAGACUCUGUCCUGGCAAAGCUUAUUCACAGGCCUUAAAAGGAGCAACUGAUUCAUAAGGAAAUUAAUUUCCUACCAGAGAAAAAUUCAGCAAUUAUUAAGGAAGACAAGAAAAUACAGAUUCUACAAUUAGGAUUCACAGCAGCAUAUCAAAAAAUUUUACUAGAUGUGCAAAGGAAGUGAAAAAUUUCACUUGCAACAACAGCAACAAGUCAAUAGAGGCAGACUUGAAAUGACAAUGUUGAAAUUAGCAGAUGAGACCUUUAAAAUAGCUAUGAUAGCACCUUUAAGGAUUCAAAAGAAAUAUAAUGAGUAAACAUAACAAAUCUUAGUAGAAAACUGGAAACUACAGAAGACAACCAAAUGAAACUUUUAGAAUUAAAAAAAUAUAAUAUCCUACAUUAAAAAUUCACUGGGUAGGGCUUAACAGCACACUUGAAACUGCAGAAGAAAAAAAUAAGUGACAUGGAAAAUUUGAAAACAAAACAAAACAAAACAAAAUCCAAAACCUCUAUGAACAAAGAAUGAGAAAAGAUUGAAAAAAAUCUCUGCAGACUUUUUGCAAAAAUCUGCAAAUUAAUUCUAAGAUGUACUUGGAAAUGCAAAGGACUUAGAAUAGCCAAAACAGUCUUGAAAAAAAUAAAACUAACGUUGGAAACUGAUUUUACAACCUGCUAUAACGCUGCAAUCAUCGUAAUAAUGUAGUAUUGCUUUAACAUGCACACACACGCGUGGGCGCGCGCGCACACACACAUACACACACACACACACACACACAGUUUAUGUAUUGUAGACCUAAAUGUAAGCAAAAACUACAGAGAAGGAAACAUAGAUUAUCUCUGCAACCUUGGGUUAAGCAAAGAUUUCUUAUAUAGAAUACAAAAGGAUGAACUUAAAUAUUUUUGAUAAAUUAAACUGCCUAAUUAAAACACCUGCUCAUCAGACAUCUUACAACAUAUUAAUUACAUUUAAUGUUUAUUAUAAAUUAUAUUAAAACUAUAAACUAUGAAGAUACAUAUUAUACUUCCCUCAAGCCAUGCACAGGAAGAAAACAUUCUCAACAUGUAUCUGACAAUGAAGUUGUAUGUAGAAUAUAUAUUUUUAAACUGCAAGUCAAUCAAUUAACUACACUUAGUGAUAAACAGAUAACUGGAUUUAAAAAAAGGGCAAACUGGGCCAGGUGCCAUGGCUCAUGCCUGUAAUCCUAGCA